rnacentral:rRNA from 1 species
CUGCUGCCUUCCGUAGGAGUCUGGUCCGUGUCNCAGUACCAGUGUGGGGGACCUUCCUCUCAGAACCCCUACGCAUCGUCGUCUUGGUGGUCCGUUACACCGCCAACUAACUAAUGCGACGCAUGCCCAUCCGCCACCGGAAUUAACCUUUGGCACCAACAGGAUGUCCCGUCGAUGCAUUAUGCCGUAUUAGACGGAAUUUCUCCCGAUUAUCCGGCUGUGGCAGGCAGGUUGCAUACGUGUUACUCA